rnacentral:ncRNA from 1 species
GAUGUUGGAUCAGGACAUCCCUGUGGUGCAGCAGCUAUUAAAGAUUCAUUGGUUCAAUGAUUAAAGUCCUACAUGAUCUGAGUUCAGACCAGAGUAAUCCAGGUC